AACGAACGCUGGCGGCAGGCUUAACACAUGCAAGUCGAGCGCCCCGCAAGGGGAGCGGCAGACGGGUGAGUAACGCGUGGGAAUCUACCCAUCUCUACGGAAUAACGCAUGGAAACGUGUGCUAAUACCGUAUACGUCCUUCGGGAGAAAGAUUUAUCGGAGAUGGAUGAGCCCGCGUUGGAUCAGCUAGUUGGUGGGGUAAAGGCCUACCAAGGCGACGAUCCAUAGCUGGUCUGAGAGGAUGAUCAGCCACACUGGGACUGAGACACGGCCCAGACUCCUACGGGAGGCAGCAGUGGGGAAUAUUGGACAAUGGGCGCAAGCCUGAUCCAGCCAUGCCGCGUGAGUGAUGAAGGCCCUAGGGUUGUAAAGCUCUUUCACCGGUGAAGAUAACGACGGUAACCGGAGAAGAAGCCCCGGCUAACUUCGUGCCAGCCGCCGCAGUAACAC
rnacentral:rRNA from 1 species